GCCGAACCGUGCGAACGUUGUUCGGAAUUACUGGGCGUAAAGGGCUCGUAGGUGGCCAACUAAGACAGACGUGAAAUCCCUCGGCUUAACCGGGGAACUGCGUCUGAUACUGGAUGGCUUGAGUUUGGGAGAGGGACGCGGAAUUCCAGGUGUAGCGGUGAAAUGCGUAGAUAUCUGGAGGAACACCGGUGGCGAAGGCGGCGUCCUGGACCAACACUGACACUGAGGAGCGAAAGCCAGGGGAGCAAACGGG
rnacentral:rRNA from 1 species